rnacentral:lncRNA from 1 species
AACAAACCUAGUAAUAAUUUCCAACAUGAAUUUAUUUAUUUAUUUUUUCCCCAGGUAACAACUAAACACAUUUUGAUACUCUUCACUUAUCUCUGUCUGUCAACAAUCACUAAUGGGAAACCUACAGAUUAAGUAUUUGGUGGCUGGGACAGACGCCCACAGCGUGAAAAUACAGGGGGCUUGUCUGCGAGGACUGCGGGUUCCCGCACAGGCGUGUCACCUGACUGUCUAAGGGAAGUAUUGAUGGGCGAGGGAGCGGCUGACCUGUGAUCCCCUGGCUCUUCGCCCAGUGCCUCAGGCCCCAUGUGACUUGCUGGGGUUCUGUCUUUUGUCAUGCAACCCCUUUGACCAUCAGGGUUCUGAGUAGGUGCUGGCUCAGCAAUCCGAAGGUCAACCCUGUUACGACGGUACAGUGAUCCAUUCACUUCGACCAAGUAGGAGCGUGAUGCCACUUUCUGUACACAGGAUCCGAGUCUCCAGAGGCCCGUCCGGUCCCCUGAUAGUGGUUUCAUCCGCACCGUUUCACCCACCCUGAGCUCAGGUAAGUCUUUUGCUGAUUUGUCAUAGAUGAACUUGGAGACCUGUCUUCUGUGACGUAGCUUCACCAGCACGUCUGUCACCACACAUGGCUCCAGGAGAGUGCUGGCUACUGGCAGAGCUGCUUUUAAGCGCCGUGCCAUGAGGCGCUGGGCCGGGCUGCUAUCCAUGCCUUCUGUCGGGGUAUUGCGCCACUGCAGGAUUGCUUUCCAGGCAUAUUUGCCCUCUCGCAGAGCUUUUUUGCAGAGGUUCUUUGCAAUUUUGACUGCGGACUCCGCCUUCCCAUUAGCUUUUGUGUGUCGCGGUGAUGAAGUGACGUGCUCGAAUUCCCAGUCUGCAGCAAAUUUUCGGAACUGAACUCCGGAGAAUUGGGGUCCAUUGUCUGAAAUUACCCUAUCUGGCUGGCCAUAGCGGGCAAACUGAGCCUUGCAGCGUUUGAUCGUUGUCUCUGCUGAGAGGUUGGGGAGGAGGUCAAUCUCCCAGAAGUCUGAGUAAUGGUCGACUACCAGCAGAAUGUGCAUUUACUGACAUAGUCUUUGAUUUCACUCUGCAUUCUUGGCCAAUACAGUGUGUCACGUGCUUGUCUGUAACAGGCCUCACCUCCUGUGUGACUUGAGUGCACGCGCGCCAACAUCUCAAGGCGCAGAGACCGGGGAAUAACGACCCUCUGACCCUUGAAUAUUACUCCGUUUUGAACACUGAGCUCCUCUUUGACUGGCCAAUAAUCUCUGACGGCUAAAGCAGUUUCUUCCUUGCAGUCGGGCCAGCCCAUCAGAAUCACAGACCUCAAUGCCUGGAGUUGCUCGUCCCUGUCUGUGUGCUGUCUGAUUUGUAUAAGGCGCUGGUCCGUGACAUUGAGGUAGUCAGCCUGGUUGAUGUGUUCAACAUCAACUUGCUCUGUUUGUAAGCUGCACACUGCGUGUCAUUCAUGCAUGGAGUGUGUGUGAGUGCCUGAUGCAGUAGCCCUGCUGAGUGUGUCACUCACAUACAUCUCUGGCCCUGGCUUAUACACCACCUUGAGGUUGUAGUUUUGUAGGGCCAGUAGCAUGCUUCGUAGUUGUUUCGGGGCAUUCAGGAGAGGCUUGCUGAAUAUAGCAAUAAGGGGCUUGUGAUCUGUCUCUGCGGUAAUAUUGUCGCGCCCCCGCAGAGUGACAAACCACUUUUGUCCUUUUGCCCUCACUGCCCCUAUGCACUCGCUAGCAUAUACAUCCUCUGUGCUGUUGUUCCCAGCAUCUGUGUUUGUUUCAAUGGAGUGCACUUUACCCUCCUUUCUCUUGCUUUUCAUGCAGACCCUUGUAGCUGCCUUUUCCCUUAGCCUAGUGACAAAGCUGUCAAUGGACUCCCCGUCCUCCUGUUUGCAACACCCGAAAACAUAACGCUCGUAGAUAACGUUCUUUGCUGGCUUAAAGUAAUGUUCAAGAGCAUCAAGAAUAGCUGUAGCGUUACCUUGCUGAGCUGCUGUUAGGUUCAGGUUGUGUUUGUAUACGUGUCGGCAUUCAGUUCCCAUUAUAGUCCUCAAAGUGGCAGCCACUACCUCAUCGUCCUUUUCCAGAAGUCCUGUUGCUAGUGCAUAGUCCUCCCAUUCACCUCUAAACGUAUCCCAGUUUGUGCUCCAAUCUCCGCUGAGCUUCAUGACGGCGGGAGGGAGAAUGUUCGCUGCCAUGUCUAACCGGUGCUAACAACACUGAAGCUAACUAGCAAACUCACUCUAGCUAAGGACAAUUCCGGCGACCGGCGAAGUUUUACUCAAAUAAGCAUUUUGGGGGGGUAAACCAGAACAGGUGACUCUAAUUUGCGGAAAGCAUGGUUAGUUAUCCGACUCUGACACCAUGUUUGAAUGUUAAAUGACGAGACAGAGGCAUUGACGCGAGUAACCAGUCUUGCUUGUUCAGUAUAUUGCAAUACAUCCGGGUAUUUCAAGCACACCGGUAACACUGGAGUUGCAGUAAUUAACAUUUACCAACAGAUGGCAUUACUGUGCCAUCUUACACCCAUAACAACAUGCACCAAACGUGUCACAGCUUCGUAAAAAGCGUUGCCUACCGCGGUCUUUGAAAUGAAAGCUGUCAGGCGAGAGCGGCCCCCACACACAGACAGUUUUUCCUCGGAGAAACGCACUAGAGACCUAGUUGAGACUCACGGGAUUUUGGAAAGAAAUUAGACGAUAUUAUUUUCAUUUUAGGAAAGAAACCAAACUAUUUUUGUGUUUUUUUCCGAGACACCCGAGGACAGCCACAGAGUUCCCUGGCGCGGAGAAAGUAACAUCUUCAACUGGCGACGACAGAGGGACACCACCGGAGGAGUCAUUCCAAGCAACUCUGCUCAAACAAAUGGAUUGGAGAGGUGGUGUGAAUACAUCUCUCUCUACAGCUCAGAGCAACUUGUCUCUGUGUUUCACCUGCAACGGUGAGAGAUGUCAAGAUGUGAAAAAGAUUUUCAACUCAAUGAGAGAUGACAAAAUUUGGACGCAAAGUACUGCAACGUCUGCCCUUCUUGGCUGUUCCCUGACCUCGUCUCCCUUUGCUGGGAAGUGUGUGCCAUGUGUUGAGGACCGCAAGGUCUACAUUGUUUGCCUUGACAUGCCCAAGGAUCUCAAACUGGACCUGGAGGAUGGUGAUGGCAACUCAUUUUCCUACACUGAAGCUACAUGCCCUAGACUGACGGCGUCUAGAGCUGUAGGUCACGCUGGACACAACAGUGGAGUCAGAGGUCUUGCUGGGCAUGGUGGAGCAAUGAUCAGCAUUGGCAUGUUAGCAGCUGCCGUCAUCUUUGUCGCUUACUACAGAAGCCAGACCAAAUCAAGUAUUGUCUAGUGUCAACUUCAGAAGUCCACUCAGAGGAACACCAGACCCAUUUAAAGUUAUUAAAGACUGUCACGUCUACUGCUCCCCCUCUCCGGCGCACAGAGGGAGGGGGGCAGAACAUGAGACAGAGCUGCAUUUCAUGACAAAAUGUGAAAAAUAUAAAACAAUUAGAGAGUGUAAUUUCCCCAAAUUUGAAACCCUUAUUCAAGGUUUCAAAGACCUCUCUGGUGAGAGGCUACCCUUCCUGUUGGGGGAAAGACGCAGAGAGCUGGGGGUUGGCAGCGCACUACAUUGCUGCCUGCCAUAAGAUGAGGGACAGUGUCUGACAGACCAAUCAACCUGCACAUGUCCUCUACUGUAUGCUUAUUGUUUAAUGUAUGGUUAUUUUGACCCUUGGUUAUUGUUGUUACUGUUGUCCCGUUGACAAUUUUGAUUUAUUAUUUUCAUGUUGUAAAUAUCCAAAAUAAGCUUUGGCAAUAUGUACAUUGUUACGUUAUGCCAAUAAAGUGAAUUGAAUUGAAUUGAGAGACACACACACACACACAGACACAGAGAGAGAGAAACAGAGAGA